GAUGAACGCUAGCAGAAUGCUUAACACAUGCAAGUCGAACGGUUUCUCGUUCUAAAGUACUUUCUUCUUCGGAAGAAUGAUCCGACGAACAUUGGAAAUAGUGGCAAACGGGUGAGUAACACGUAUCUAAUCUGCCCCAAAGUGGAGAAUAACGGUAGAAAUACCGCUAAUUCGCCAUGUGGCCUUGGAAAUGAAAAUACCUUGGUUAAAGAUUUAUCGCUUUGGGAGGAGGAUGCGGCCUAUCAGGUAGUUGGUUGAGGUAAAAGCUCACCAAGCCGAUGACGGGUAGCCGAUCUGAGAGGAUGACCGGCCACAAUGGGACUGAGACACGGCCCAUACUCCUACGGGAGGCAGCAGUGGGGAAUCAUGGACAAUGGAGGAAACUCUGAUCCUGCAAUUCUGCGUGGAGGAUGACGCCUUACGGGGUGUAAACUCCUUUUCUGGUGGAAGACGACUGACGGUACACCAGGAAUAAGGGACGGCUAACUACGUGCCAGCAGCCGCGGUAAUACGUAGGUCCCAAGCGUUAUCCGGAUUUACUGGGCGUAAAGAGUCUGUAGCUGGUUAUAUAAGUCUGUUUUCAAAUCCUGCGACUCAAUCGUAGAAAGGGAAUGGAUACUGUAUAACUGGAGGUACCGAGGGGUAAGUGGAAUUUCCGGUGGAGCGGUGGAAUGCGUUGAUAUCGGAAGGAACGCCAAAAGCGAAGGCAGCUUACUAUUGGAUACCUGACAGUGAGAGACGAAAGCAUGGGUAGCAAACGGGAUUAGAUACCCCGGUAGUCCAUGCCGUAAAUGAUGCUUGCUAGGUGUUUCCCGACAUUUUUUUCUGUCCUUGUUGAUAGGAAAAUGUGUCGGGGAGUACCGUAAGUUAACACGUUAAGCAAGCCGCCUGGGUAGUAUAGUCGCAAGACCGAAACUCAAAGGG
rnacentral:rRNA from 1 species